CUCAAAGCACGCUAAAGUAAAAUUCAUAUUAAAACAAAAGAAAUUUGGCGUCUUCUCACGAUUCCUCUCUCACUUCACUUGAUGCCUUCUCCAAAAGUCCACACGACGACGUCCUCCAUCCGGCAACAUCCUCCACUCCGACGAGGUCCUACAAUCUGACGAGCAUAAAUCUGAUUUUGCAUCAAAUCCAGGGCUGAGCUAUUUGAGACUUGAAUGAGAUCAAGGCUUCCUCGUCAGUAAUUAUGCUUAAAGAGGCUACAAAUUGUAAAUCAAACACAAGCGGCAAUAAGUACCAACAUAACAAACAGAAGCAUAGUAAAGUUGGAGAAAUCCAUCAUGAAUGCGAGGAAGGAUGUGCGAAGAAGGCAGAAACCAAGUAGUUUAUUAUAUAGCGAUCGAGGGAGAUAAUUCGCACAACAAACCAAGGUGUCGUACAUGAGCAUUUCUUGUGCAAAUGUCCUUUCUUUACGGUCGAAGAUAUCAUUUGUGUGAUUAUAAAGGACGAGGAAGACUGCAUGGAAAGAAUGAGCUAUUCAACUAUAAACACUCAUCAUGUCGAAACAUUAUUGAACGUUGCAUUGGAGUAUUAAAGGCAAGAUUUCCCAUUUUUGAAGUUAACGACCAAUUAUCCACUUGAUAGACAGAGACAAAUUCCUACUACAGGUUGCACAAUACAUAACUUCAUUCUUCAGGAGCACGCCUUGGAUAGACUUUUUGCUCAAUAUUCAUUAGAGUAUGAUAUUUGAAGAUGUGUCAGAAUUGUGUGAAGAUACAAUUUGAUGCUAGUCAAACAUCUCAAAUGGGAUAAUUCAGAGAUCAAAUUGUUAUACAAAUGUGGAAUAACUACUCAACGACUCAUACAUGAUUCCAUAGAUUUAUUUUAUUGUUUGAAUUCUACCUUUUUUU